rnacentral:rRNA from 1 species
GACUGCUAUCGGAUUGAUACUAAGCCAUGCGAGUCUUUGCAGUAAUGCAAGGCAUACGGCUCAGUAACACGUAGUCAACUUACCCUAUGGACGAGGAUAAUCUCGGGAAACUGAGCAUAAUACUCGAUAGAUCAUAAUGCCUGGAAUGGUUUAUGAUUAAAAUGAUUCGUCGCCAUAGGAUGGGACUGCGGCCUAUCAGCUUGUUGGUGAGGUAAUGGCCCACCAAGGCGAUUACAGGUACGGGCUCUGAGAGGAGAAGCCCGGAGAUGGGUACUGAGACACGGACCCAGGCCCUAUGGGGCGCAGCAGGCGAGAAAACUUUGCAAUGUGCGAAAGCACGACAAGGUUAAUCCGAGUGAUUUCUGCUAAAGAAAUCUUUUGCCAGUCAUAAAACCACUGGUGAAUAAGGGGUGGGCAAGUUCUGGUGUCAGCCGCCGCGGUAAAACCAGCACCUCAAGUGGUCAGGAUGAUUAUUGGGCCUAAAGCAUCCGUAGCCGGCUUUGUUAGUUUUCGGUUAAAUCCAUGUGCUCAACGCAUGGGCUGCCGAAAAUACUGCAUAGCUAGGGAGUGGGAGAGGUAGACGGUACUCAGUAGGAAGGGGUAAAAUCCUUUGAUCUAUUGAUGACCACCUGUGGCGAAGGCGGUCUACCAGAACACGUUCGACGGUGAGGGAUGAAAGCUGGGGGAGCAAACCGGAUUAGAUACCCGGGUAGUCCCAGCUGUAAACGAUGCAGACUCGAUGAUGCAUUGGCAUAAUAGCCAGUGCAGUGUCGCAGGGAAGCCGUUAAGUCUGCCGCCUGGGAAGUACGUACGCAAGUAUGAAACUUAAAGGAAUUGGCGGGGGAGCACCACAAGGGGUGAAGCCUGCGGUCAAU